AUUAAGGCUCUAGAUUGCUCUAGAGCAACCAGCAAGCUCGAGCUCUCUCGGCCCGAGAUAGAGAAACCCGACGACCCGCAAGGCUGCCCGGCGACAACUCCGGCUUCCGGCCACCGAUCGACGACGCAAGGCCACCAAUCUCUUCCUCUCAUCGUCGCCGUCACGCCUGUCGCUUCAGAUCGUCCAUGCGCCGGACGAGGAAGAAGAAUCGACGCGAGAGAGUCUGACUGCUCCGCCGAGCUUCUGCAAAUUUCGGCCACCGAUUGGGCUGUAUGUGGUAUGAAAAUCGCUCAUCUCGUUAUGCUUUCCACGUCUGUGUAAUUAGUUUUCCAAUUUGAUCAGGUUUUGACAAAUCGAUUUCUGGGCUUGCUUUGGGUUCGACGUCGUUGUUGCGGGGCGGCUACUUUUCCGGCUUUCCUUGGGUUAGUUUUUGUCUUCGCUGCGACUGUAGAUGAAGACAGUUAACACUUGGAGUUGAAAUUCAGAAGCUUGCUAGGUAGACCACAGUUCGUCAUUGAUUGAGUUUUGGGCAGAGUUUCGAGGAACUGUUGCCGAGCUGGGUUAGAGGUUUGGGUUUCCCACCUGCAGAUGAUACUACUGAAGGACUCCAGUUACCCGAGGAACAGAAGGUUUGCAACUCUCGGAGUUCGUGAGGGAAAGCAUCGGAAUCCAGGUAGGGAUUCAGGACUCUCCUCGGUUAGUGGUUUUCUUAUAUAUUGUUUUUGAAACGAUGCAUGCUAAGUGGAAUGGUUUGGUUAUGUUAAAAUGCAAUGCAUACUAACCAAAUCGUGAGAAAUGUGAUGGCUUGAGAGCGAAAGGGGCACCGACUUCCUUGGGUUCGAUUCCCUAAACCUCCGGAGGGUUAGCUAUGCCGGUCGUCCGAGUAUCCGCAAUCACGGACUUGUGUGGAUGCAGGUACUGUGCACUGGUGACGGGACAAUGGCGGACGGAGCUGGGUGUGCGGAACAAGUUUGGUACCUAACCAAUAUUAUCAGUAAUGACAAAUAAAAAGUAGAACGCAAUUUCUCUUGGAUAUUACUGUUACAGAAGUUGUGAAUAUUUUGUUUUGACAUGAUUACAUGAAGAAGGUAUAUAAAAGCUAUAGAAUUUCAAGAACAAGUUGAUGAAAUGUCACGUCCAAAAUCUUGCAUUGGUGGACUUUAAGCACCUGAAUCGGAAUAUGAGGUGUGAGUGUUACAAAGCAGAAUAUAAAUAAACUCUUUCUUUUAGGUUCAUCUAAUCUCUUUCUGGCUUGAAACACUCUUAGUACCUCUUUGCAAAAGAUUUUAGAUAUGGGUGGGUGAAUAAAACCACACACUCAUUGAGUAAGUCAUGUAAUAUGCCAGUGAAUCCAUGCAGUUUUACAC